CUAUACUGGGAUACGCCGAGGAUACCGAUGCCAUUUUUAUAUAUGUGGACUCCAAUGUCUACAUGUUUCAGCUUAAGUGAGUGCAAUCCAAGAGACUUCAUGAAACCCAUGAUGUCAUGUGCUACCAUCCUUUCACAAGUUUUUAUGCAUCAGCAAUCGAUGCAGAAGGACAUGAAGGAUGGGACAGCUGGGCUGAUGCGAGAGAUGGUGGAGCUGCCGAGAAGACAAAGGAGAGCCAGUUCGUCAGCUGUGAUGGGUGAUCGUCGUCCUGCUCGCUUGUCUGUUCUAGGAUGGUGUUUUGGCCCCUGGCUUGCUGGGUCUUGUAAGAUACGUUCCUUGCCGACGUUCUCGUCAGAUGUUCUGCACUGUUAGGUCCUGUAGUUCGAAUAUUUGGGUUAGGUCCUGUAGUUCGAAUAUUUGGGUUGCAGCAGGGUUUUGCCCCAUAGUGGCUUGACCGAGCCGGUGGAGUCCGGUGGGUUUCGUACCAGUUUCUAAUGUUGCAAGAUGCUUCUGAAUAUUUUGAAGUCGGAUUUCGCGGUAUCUGUUAA